ACUAAGCGUACACGGUGGAUGCCCUGGCAGUCAGAGGCGAUGAAGGACGUGCUAAUCUGCGAUAAGCGUCGGUAAGGUGAUAUGAACCGUUAUAACCGGCGAUUUCCGAAUGGGGAAACCCAGUGUGAUUCGUCACACUAUCAUUAACUGAAUCCAUAGGUUAAUGAGGCGAACCGGGGGAACUGAAACAUCUAAGUACCCCGAGGAAAAGAAAUCAACCGAGAUUCCCCCAGUAGCGGCGAGCGAACGGGGAGCAGCCCAGAGCCUGAAUCAGUGUGUGUGUUAGUGGAAGCGUCUGGAAAGGCGCGCGAUACAGGGUGACAGCCCCGUACACAAAAAUGCACAUGCUGUGAGCUCGAUGAGUAGGGCGGGACACGUGGUAUCCUGUCUGAAUAUGGGGGGACCAUCCUCCAAGGCUAAAUACUCCUGACUGACCGAUAGUGAACCAGUACCGUGAGGGAAAGGCGAAAAGAACCCCGGCGAGGGGAGUGAAAAAGAACCUGAAACCGUGUACGUACAAGCAGUGGGAGCCUCUUUAUGGGGUGACUGCGUACCUUUUGUAUAAUGGGUCAGCGACUUAUAUUCUGUAGCAAGGUUAACCGAAUAGGGGAGCCGAAGGGAAACCGAGUCUUAACUGGGCGUUAAGUUGCAGGGUAUAGACCCGAAACCCGGUGAUCUAGCCAUGGGCAGGUUGAAGGUUGGGUAACACUAACUGGAGGACCGAACCGACUAAUGUUGAAAAAUUAGCGGAUGACUUGUGGCUGGGGGUGAAAGGCCAAUCAAACCGGGAGAUAGCUGGUUCUCCCCGAAAGCUAUUUAGGUAGCGCCUCGUGAAUUCAUCUCCGGGGGUAGAGCACUGUUUCGGCAAGGGGGUCAUCCCGACUUACCAACCCGAUGCAAACUGCGAAUACCGGAGAAUGUUAUCACGGGAGACACACGGCGGGUGCUAACGUCCGUCGUGAAGAGGGAAACAACCCAGACCGCCAGCUAAGGUCCCAAAGUCAUGGUUAAGUGGGAAACGAUGUGGGAAGGCCCAGACAGCCAGGAUGUUGGCUUAGAAGCAGCCAUCAUUUAAAGAAAGCGUAAUAGCUCACUGGUCGAGUCGGCCUGCGCGGAAGAUGUAACGGGGCUAAACCAUGCACCGAAGCUGCGGCAGCGACGCUUAUGCGUUGUUGGGUAGGGGAGCGUUCUGUAAGCCUGCGAAGGUGUACUGUGAGGUAUGCUGGAGGUAUCAGAAGUGCGAAUGCUGACAUAAGUAACGAUAAAGCGGGUGAAAAGCCCGCUCGCCGGAAGACCAAGGGUUCCUGUCCAACGUUAAUCGGGGCAGGGUGAGUCGACCCCUAAGGCGAGGCCGAAAGGCGUAGUCGAUGGGAAACAGGUUAAUAUUCCUGUACUUGGUGUUACUGCGAAGGGGGGACGGAGAAGGCUAUGUUGGCCGGGCGACGGUUGUCCCGGUUUAAGCGUGUAGGCUGGUUUUCCAGGCAAAUCCGGAAAAUCAAGGCUGAGGCGUGAUGACGAGGCACUACGGUGCUGAAGCAACAAAUGCCCUGCUUCCAGGAAAAGCCUCUAAGCAUCAGGUAACAUCAAAUCGUACCCCAAACCGACACAGGUGGUCAGGUAGAGAAUACCAAGGCGCUUGAGAGAACUCGGGUGAAGGAACUAGGCAAAAUGGUGCCGUAACUUCGGGAGAAGGCACGCUGAUAUGUAGGUGAAGUCCCUUGCGGAUGGAGCUGAAAUCAGUCGAAGAUACCAGCUGGCUGCAACUGUUUAUUAAAAACACAGCACUGUGCAAACACGAAAGUGGACGUAUACGGUGUGACGCCUGCCCGGUGCCGGAAGGUUAAUUGAUGGGGUUAGCGGUAACGCGAAGCUCUUGAUCGAAGCCCCGGUAAACGGCGGCCGUAACUAUAACGGUCCUAAGGUAGCGAAAUUCCUUGUCGGGUAAGUUCCGACCUGCACGAAUGGCGUAAUGAUGGCCAGGCUGUCUCCACCCGAGACUCAGUGAAAUUGAACUCGCUGUGAAGAUGCAGUGUACCCGCGGCAAGACGGAAAGACCCCGUGAACCUUUACUAUAGCUUGACACUGAACAUUGAGCCUUGAUGUGUAGGAUAGGUGGGAGGCUUUGAAGUGUGGACGCCAGUCUGCAUGGAGCCGACCUUGAAAUACCACCCUUUAAUGUUUGAUGUUCUAACGUUGGCCCCUAAUCGGGGUUGCGGACAGUGUCUGGUGGGUAGUUUGACUGGGGCGGUCUCCUCCUAAAGAGUAACGGAGGAGCACGAAGGUUGGCUAAUCCUGGUCGGACAUCAGGAGGUUAGUGCAAUGGCAUAAGCCAGCUUGACUGCGAGCGUGACGGCGCGAGCAGGUGCGAAAGCAGGUCAUAGUGAUCCGGUGGUUCUGAAUGGAAGGGCCAUCGCUCAACGGAUAAAAGGUACUCCGGGGAUAACAGGCUGAUACCGCCCAAGAGUUCAUAUCGACGGCGGUGUUUGGCACCUCGAUGUCGGCUCAUCACAUCCUGGGGCUGAAGUAGGUCCCAAGGGUAUGGCUGUUCGCCAUUUAAAGUGGUACGCGAGCUGGGUUUAGAACGUCGUGAGACAGUUCGGUCCCUAUCUGCCGUGGGCGCUGGAGACCUGAGGGGGGCGGCUCCUAGUACGAGAGGACCGGAGUGGACGCAUCACUGGUGUUCGGGUUGUCAUGCCAAUGGCACUGCCCGGUAGCUAAAUGCGGAAGAGAUAAGUGCUGAAAGCAUCUAAGCACGAAACUUGCCCCGAGAUGAGUUCUCCCUGACUCCCUGAGAGUCCUGAAGGAACGUUGAAGACGACGACGUUGAUAGGCCGGGUGUGUAAGCGCAGCGAUGCGUUGAGCUAACCGGUACUAAUGAACCGUGAGGCUUAACC
rnacentral:rRNA from 1 species